AAGUUCGAUCCUGACUCAGGAUGAACGUUGGCGGCAUGCUUUACACAUGCAAUUCGGAUGGAAACACGGGAAACGAUGUUUCCAGUGGCGGAUGGGUAAGUAACGUGUAAGAAUCUGCCCUUCGGAGGGGAACAAUAGUUGGAAACGAUUGCUAAUACCCCGUAGGUUGAGGAGUAAAAGGAGGGAUCCGCCCAUGGAGGGGCUUGCGUCUAAUUAGCUAGUUGGUGAGGCAAUAACUUACUAAGGCGAUGAUCAGUAGUUGGUUCGAGAGGAUGAUUAGCAAAGCUGGGACUGAGACACAACCCAGACUCCUACGUGAGGUAGCAGUGGGGAAUUUUCCUCAAUGGGCGAAAGCCUGACGGAGCAAUGCCAUGUGGAGGUACCACUGGAAAUGUCAUAC
rnacentral:ncRNA from 1 species